GGCCUGAUGGCGUAGUUGGUUAUCCCAUCUGUCUAGCACACAGAAGGUCUGAAGUUCGAGCCUUGAUCAAGUCA